GUGCUCACUUCAGCAGUACAUAUACUGAUAUUGGAAUGAUACAGAGAAGAUUAGCAUGGCCCCUGCACAAGGAUGACAGGUAAAUUCAUGAAAUUUCCAUAUUUUU
rnacentral:snRNA from 1 species